GAAAGAUCCUGCACAAGUUCUGGGUGUGCUUGGCAGCAUGGCUUGUGUCCGGAUACGGCAGGGUGGACUAGAAAUGAAUGGGUGACUUAGAGACUGAGCAACCCUUCCAUACCUCUGGAGAACUACAUUUGGAGGUGAGGCCAACUGCAGACAGAGCUGUGAAACUUAAAGAGAGUACCAGUGCUAUGACCACCUUGGAAACAGCUCUUUCCAAAGUAUUGAGAGACAUAAAGUACUGUGGAGACAGUGACAAGGAGCAUGUGACUUCACGUGAAAUGCCUGUUCAAAGUUGAGAAGUUUGUCAC